CCUACGAGAGGCAGCAGUGAGGAAUAUUGGUCAAUGGGCGCGCGCCUGAACCAGCCAAGUCGCGUGAGGGAAGACGGUCCUAUGGAUUGUAAACCUCUUUUGUCGGGGAGCAAAAGACGCCACGCGUGUCGUUCCGAGAGUACCCGAAGAAAAGGCAUCCGCUAACUCCGUGCCAGCAGCCGCGGUACUACGGAGGAUGCGAGCGUUAUCCGGAUUUAUUGGGUUUAAAGGGUGCGCAGGCGGAAGAUCAAGUCAGCGGUAAAAUUGAGAGGCUCAACCUCUUCGAGCCGUUGAAACUGGGUUGCGUGAGUGAGCGAGAAGUAUGCGGAAUGCGUGGUGUAGCGGUGAAAUGCAUAGAGAUCACGCAGAACUCCGAUUGCGAAGGCAGCAUACCGGCGCUCAACUGACGCUCAUGCACGAAAGUGUGGGUAUCGAACAGGAUUAGAUACCCUAGUAGUC
rnacentral:rRNA from 1 species